GCUCACCGCAACCUCCACCUCCUGGAUUCAAGCAAUUCUCCUGCCUCAGCCUCCCGAGUAGCUGGGACUACAGGUGCGCACCACCAUGCCCAGCUAAUUUUUGUAUUUUUAGUAGAGACAGGGUUUCACAUUGUUGACCAGGAUGGUCUCGAUCUCUUGACCUCAUGAUCCACCCGCCUCAGCCUCCCAAAGUGCUGGGAUUAUAGGCGUGAGCCACUGCGCCCGGCCUAAACUUUGCUUUCUAAGGUGAUUUUAAAUGGAACUUUAAGAACAUAUCAGGCAAUUUUGAUUUACUUGUCUAGCUGUGCUUUUUAUUUUAUUGGUCCUAGAGGAAACACACAUAGGCAUAACAUUUUGUUUCCCAGUUUAGGGAGUUCAUGGACUUCUUAGAGGUCCACAGGCCCAGCCCCAUAGGUCAUAGUGACACUUCCUAUGGGGCUUUAUAGUUGUCAUAUCCAUCCAUGCUUAUCAUGAAGACAAUUGAUAAAUGAGAUAGACGUUGAAAUAAAUUAGAGGAGAAUGAUGUUAAAAUUUCUUAGAUUUAUGCUGCUUGGCUUAGGGUUACUACAAUGAUAGUUUCUAAAUGUUAUAUCUUUUAAAAAAAUUUACCAAAAGGUACAUAUGCAGGAAAUGAACUGGAAAAAAAUCAGAAAAGCAUUUAUUUUUAACAGAAUGUUAUUGUCAGCAUUUUAAAAUUUAUUCAAUAUAUGCAGUUACAAAUUACAUAAAAAUGAGUUUUGGCUACCAACCAAACAUCAUAUUUUACUAUGGUAGGGAAUAAUCAGUUGGAAUUUUACUAAAAUUCAACCUGAACUAUUUUACUUGGAAGUUGAAGAAUUACAGCUAGCCUAGUGGUUUAUCCAAUGUAUAAGUUAUGAAAAACCCUUUACAGAACAUUUCAUUGAUUUGUUGCCAAUUUAGUUCAGACAACCAAAGCCCAAUGUAUAAAGAUAAAAUGAACUAUUAUUUUGCAAUAUUUGUGACUUAACAUUUAUUACCUACAUUAUUCUUCAUUAACUUUAUUCUCUUGUGUAAAACUACUUUUUAAAAUACAUUAUGAUGACGCUUUUGAAGUUUUUCAAAGUGGUCUAACUUUAAGAAGAUUGUGUAUUUAGAAUUCCCAUACUUUAAAAAUAUUUAUUGAGAAUGAGGGGUGGGAAGAAGGAGAGGAUCAGGAAGAGUAGCUAGUGGAUGCUGGGCUUGAUACCUGGGUGAUGGGAUGAUCUAUGCAGCAAACCACCAUGGCACAUGUUUACCUAUGUAACAAACCUGCAUGUCCUGCACAUGUAUCACUGAACUUAAGAUAAAAUUUGGAAAUUAAAAAAAAGAGAUUGAACUUUUUUUAAAGAAAAGAUCACUUUGAUAAGGAGAAAAUCAAUAGAUUGACAGAACUUUACAGGUGAAGCUACCAGAACCAUCACUCAGGCAAACUAUCUUAGAUUGAGAUCCAGAGAUGGCCUGUGGCCAUCUCUGAACCCUUCCUGCAUUCUUUUCUCUAUACCAGGGUGCGUGGCAUGCUUUUAAGUCACCACCAGUACAACCUCUGUGGAGAGCUUCAGCUAUAUUCUCCAGCAGCUUAAUUUUUCUCCCAAGGUUAAACCAUACACAGAAAGUUUGUUCUCCGAUAGGAAUAGGUACACUGAAUAAACUACUUCAGUAUUGCUGAUCAGGGCUUCUGACCUUGAAACUGAGCUGCAAAACAAAUGAUCAGCUGAUUGGAUAAUUAGUGAGGUGUAAAGCUAGGAAUUCCUUGCAAACACACAGUCUAUGUAAGUGUUAAAAAAGAAGAAAUUUAGUUUCCGUGUUGUAAUGACUCACUAGUUUUCUAGUGAAGGUCAUUUGAAAGGAGGGUGAGUGGUGAAAACUUUAGCUGAACACAGAAUAAUUAAUUAGAAGUUAUUAAAACCUGGCUUCACUUUGGGCUUAUUGUGCAUAAGCAAGUUUAUAUAUGCACUUGAAGAAACUUGAUACAAAAAGAGUGAAUGAAAAAAUGCAAAGACAAGGACAUAAAAUAGGUAGGAGAGCAAGAUAGCUGCACUUAAUGUUCUUGGCAUUAUAUAACCUUGCCCAUGAGGAAGUUGGCAUGUGGUGAAAGGGAUCUGGAAAAAAAGGAAGCCAAAAGGGUCCUUGACUGAGGGCAUUUGGCCUGCAGUUUAUUCAUUUAAUCAGAGAAAUGGACAGAAAACCAGGCCCUCUUACUCGUACAUCAUGGGGCUGUUGAAGAUACCUCAUGAGAGAGAAGUACUUAGAGGGGCUCUGCAGUGGGCUAUGUUUUGGGAUACUGAAGUAGAGGUGUUUUCAAUUGUUAUAAAACUUGGUGUGUAGAUUACAAGGUCAAAAUGAAUAUGUGAUCUAUUGGCAUGGAGGUAGCCUGAGUAUUGCAAAGAGCACAUAUUUUGGAAACAAAGGGACCUGAGCUCAAAUCUUGACUCUUCAGCUUGCCAUCCAUGUGAUCCCAAGGCAAGUGAUAGCCACUGAAUUGUAACUCCUCUUAUAAAAUAAAGUAAUGCUAACUGUUGAAGUGUGUUUCCUGUGAAGUUAAGGAGGCUUAGUGAAUGCAGCCCUCGAAGGGCCUGAGCCAUGUAUUCACACGGCUAUCUGUUUUUAUUAAGCCUGUGGUCUCCAUUCUGAUUUCUCCUCUAUCCCUUUUCCCUUAUGUGGGGUGGAACUGAAGUGGCCAUGGGUAUUUUUGGGUUUAUAAUUAUAUGUUUACUUCCUUUGUAUGUAAAUUUGUAUUAUUUUCCUACUUUUAUAUUAUGUGUACUAUUUUGCCUAAUGAAAGCUUCCCAAAUUGUAUAAAUUUCAUGCCUCACAACCCCUGGGUUUGCCAUGUUUAUCUCAUAACUUUAUUAUUACAAUUGAGUAAAAUAACCAUGUAAAGCACAUUAUCAGUUAUUUAUUGCCAAAUAACAGCCCAUCCCCAAACUUAGUAGCUUAGAACAGUAACUAUUUUAUUUGUUCACAAUUCUGUGGAUCAGCACUUCAGCCUGGGCUCUGCUUGGUGGUUCUUCUGCUUGUCUGGCCUGGGCUCACUCUUGUGGUAGCAGUCAGUUGGCAAAGAGACUGGAUGGUCUAGGAUGGCAUCAGUCAACUGUCUGGCAGUUGUCAGGCUAUCAGCUGGUUACCUUGUUUCUCCUCCAUGGGGGCUCUAUAGUGGACUAGCUCAGAAGUGUUCACAUAGCCUUUAAAGAGGGAGAGGGAGAAAGCUGCAAGACCUUUUGAAGUCUAUGCUUAGAAUUCCCACAGUGCCACUUGUGCUGGAUUCUAUUUAUCAAAGCAAGGCAUAAGAUUAGCCCAGAUUUAAGGAGUCAAAAGUAGAUUCCAUUGCCUGAUAGAAUGAGCUGCAAAGAAAUGUGGCUGUUUAUAAUCUACCACAAGCUCUGUGCCUGAAAUAGGAGAUCCUGAAAUAUGUUAGCUUUCUUGUCUCCCUCUUCCUACCUUGCUUCUUAUUUCUGCUGAGGUUAAAUAAACAAGAAUUGAAGAGAAGCUUCCAUGAAGAAGAGAAGAACUAGACAUAAAUAAGGCUCCCUUAGAUGUGUCUGAUACUCAAUUUUAUAAAUUAUUAAUCUGUUGUUUAAAUUAGAUUGAAUUUUAAACCUGCUUAUACCUUUUAAAAACAAAAUGCUUAAAAUUUUUAUGGUAUUUUCUUUUAAAAAGUUUAUAGAUGAGACAUUAAAAUGUCUGGCCUUUUUUCAGUUUAUAUCUGUGAAAUUGUGAAAUGUAUACAGUGAUGCACCACAUAACAACAUUAGGGUCAACUAUGGACCAUACAUACAACAGUGUUCCCAUAAGAGUAUAAUGGAGCUGAAAAAUUUCUAUGGUCUGGUGAGUUGUAGUGGUCAUAAAGUUGUAAUGAUAUAUAUUACCUUUCCUACAUUUAGAUACACACUUACUAUUGUGUUACAAUUGCUAUGGUACUCAGUACAGUAACAUGCAGUACAGGUUUAUAGCCUAGGAGCAGUAGGCCUAGGUGUAUAGUAGGCUAUACCAUCAAUUUUGGAUAAACACAUUCUAUGCUGUAAGCACAAUGACAAAAUUGCCUCACAAUGAACUUUGCAGAACAGAUCUCUUUUUAAUUUUUUUUUAAGUUCAGGGGUGUAUGUGCAUGUUUGUUACGUAGGUAAACUUCGGUCGUGGGGUGGGGUUUGUUUUACAGAUUAUUUUGUUACCCAGGUGUUAAGCCUAGUACCCAUUAAUUAUUUUCCUGAUACUUUCCCUCCUCCCACUCUCCUCCACCCUCAGGUAGGCCCCAGUAUCUGUUGUUUCCUCUGUGUGUCCAUGUGUUCUCAUCAUUUAGCUCCCACUCACAAGUAAGAAUAUGUGGUAUUUGGUUUUCUAUUCCUGUGUUAGUUUGCUAAGGAUAAUGUCUUCUAGCUCCAUUAAUGUCCCUGCCAAGGACAUGAUAUCAUUCUGUUUUUUUAUGGCUGCAUAGUAUUUCUUGGUGGAUAUGUACCACAUUUUCUUUAUCCAGUCUAUAACUGAUUAUCAUUUUGGUUAAUUCCAUGUCUUUGCUAUUGUGAAUAGUCCUGCAAUGAACAUAUGUGUGCAUGUGUCUUUACGGAAGAAUAAUUUAUAUUUCUUUGGGUGUAUACCUAGUAAUGGGAUUGGUGGGUCAAAUGGUAGUUCUGCUUUUAGUUCUUUGUGGAAUUGCCACACUGUUUUCCACAAUGGUUGAACUAAUUUAUACUCCCUCCAGCAGUAUAUAAGCAUUCCCUUUUCUCUGCAACCUCAUCAGGAUCGGUCAUUUUUUGACUUUUUAGUAAUAGCCAUUCUGACUGGUGUGAGAUGGUAUCUCAUUCUGGUUUUUAUUUGCAUUUCUCUAAUGAUUAGUGAUGUUGAGCUUUUUUUCAUAUGCUUGUUGGUGGCAUGUAUGCCUCUUUUGAAAAGUGUCUGUCCUUUGCUCAGGUUUUAAUGGGAUUGUUUUUCUUGUAAAUUUGUUAAGUUUCUUAUAGAUGCUGAAUAUUAGACCUUUGUUAGAUGCAUAGUUUGCAAAAUUUUUCUCCCAUUCUGUAGGUUGUCUGCUUACUCUGUUGAUAGUUUCUUUUGCUGUGCAAAAGCUCUUUAGUUUAAUUGUAUCUCAUUUAUCAAUUUUUGCUUUUGUUGCAAUUGCUUUUGGUGUCUUCAUCAUGAAAUCUUUGUCCAUUCCUAUGUCCAGAAUGGUAUUGCCGAGAUUGGGAUCUCUGUCUUAAGUGACACAUGACUGUAUUUGGUCUUCACCCAGUUUCCUGGCAUAAAACUCCUGAAAUCCUUAAAAUCUCCUAAGUGAGAAGUAUCUUUUGUUUGCUAAUGAGAUGACUGCUGAUUGGCAGCCCCUAUGUAGCUUCGGAUGGAGGCUAAUCACAAGAAAGACAUGCAUAUGUGGUUGGAAUUUUUUUUUUUUUUUUUGAGGCGGAGUUUCGCUCUUGUUACCCAGGUUGGAGUGCAAUGGCGUGAUCUCGGCUCACCUCAACCUCCGCCUCCUGGGUUCAGGCAAUUCUCCUGCCUCAGCCUCCUGAGUAGCUGGGAUUACAGGCACGCGCCACCAUGCCCAGCUAAUAUUUUUGUAUUGUUAGUAGAGACGGGGUUUCACCAUUUCGACCAGAAUGGUCUCGAUCUGUUGACCUCGUGAUCCACCAGCCUUGGCCUCCCAAAGUGCUGGGAUUACAGGCUUGAGCCACCGUGCCCGGCCCUGGUUGGAACUUUUAAAGCCCUAUUUCCUAACCUCUGAGAAGGAGAGAGGGGAUAAAGUUUAAGUUGAUCACCAAUAGCCAAUAUUUUAAUCAAUCAUGCCUACAUAAUGAAGCCUCCAUAAAAGCUUUGGAUAAGCUUUCAGAUAGCUGAACACAUGAAGGUUUCCGGAAAGUGGAGCACCUAGAGAGGGCAUGAAAGCUCUGUGUCAGUUCCCCCACACAUUACCCUGUCCAUCUCUUAUCUGUUGUUCAUUAGUAUCCUUUGUAAUAGCCUUUUAAAUACUCUAGAAAAUGUAAGUAAGUGUUUCCCUGAGUUCUGUGAGCCACUAUAGCAAAUUAGUCAAACUUGAUGAGGGGAGUGUGGAAACCCUGAAUAUAGCCGAUUGGUCAAAAGCACAGGUAAAACAACCUGGGGCUUGCCAUUGGCGUCAGAAUGGUGGUGGAUGGAGGAUAGGGAGGGGAUGUUUUGGGGACUGUGACCUCAACCUGUGGGAUCUGAACUACCUCCAGGUAGAGAGUGUCAUGAUUGACUUGAAUUAGAGGACACCCAGCUGAAGUCUACUGCAGAACUGAUUGCUUACUUGAUGUAUGGGGGGAACUCCUACCCCUACAUUUGGUCACAGAAUCUUUUGUGUUGACUGUUGAGUGAGAGUACAGGAGAAACUGACUUUGUUUUUUUCCUAUAUCCUCAAUAUCAAAUAAGGAAUUUGCUGAAGAAAGCUUGGUUUUGGAAUGAAAAUGAAUAAUUUAAAAUACAGAAAAAGGAAUGUAUUUAGCAGUUUGACAAAGGCUCAUGGCACUCUUCUCUUUCAGUUUAAUGGAAUUAUAUAUAUGUAAUUAAGAAAACCAAUAAAGCAAACUUCUAGCAUUUUCCCUUUUAAGUGAUAAUUAAUUGUCUGCUUGUUGAGUAAUUAAAUUAAUCCAAUGCUACAGAUAGAUGAGGUACAUGCAUGUUUAAUAAUUUAGAUAGCAUCUGCAACUUUUAAAAGCCUGUUAAAUGAUUGUGAGAAUCAAUCAGGUCCUCCUGGUGACAUCAUGAUCAUAAUAAUCAGCAUCGCAACUAAAAACAAUCAUUUGGAGAAUUAGUUUGAAACACUGUUCUUUAUAUAACUGACAAUAAUAAAUAUUUUCUAAUGAAUGCUAACUUGAUUUGAUGAUUAUUGGAGAACUAAGAAUAAUGAGUGAAAAGAAAUACAGAAGUAAAAAGAAAAGGAAUUACAAGCUACUACUUGUCUUUAGUUUAUUUCUAGUAAAAUCAGAUCUAUUAAGCAAGACAUUUAGUUGGAAAGGACAGAAAAUGUAAAAUGGGAAAUUAUUGGUCAUAUAAAGGGAGGAUUAAGAGGAAUACAUUCCAGUAGGGGCCUGAGGAGGUAAUGAAGACCCAGUUUUUCUUUCUCCAUGUUUUUAGUCUUUUUCUUUUGUGUUGGUGCCAGUCUCAGGGUUGAUGUGGGAACAGUUUAGUUGUAAUAGUUUAAACCCUGUAUUCUUUUGGUUUAAGUACAGUAGAAAAGAAUGGCUCCUCAGGAAAAUGCCUGAGAUUAGCUCUGUUUAGGACUGCUUGAUCUGGUGUGAGUCAUGUGUCUGUCCAUCCCCAGAUGAACUAGGAGGAUGGAAUACAUUGAUUGUCUCAGGCCUCUCUCCUGUUCAUUUGUUCUUCUGGAACAAAGUCAGGGACCCUCAUCCUAACCCUAUAGACUGAGACUGGGGAAGAGUAGAUUCUAGACAACAACAGGAGGCUUUAGAAGUAGAGUAAAGCCAAAAUGGCAAGCCAAACACAACUAGGGCCUAUUAUAAAUGUAACAUGUACAUUCCUGUAAUAUAGUAGAUGCUGAAUAAUAUGUCUUGAAUUAGAGAUGAUAGUUAGAAAAGGAUAUUUUAGGUACUUUUUCUAUGGAGGCUUUUGAGCUUUUGUGUAUUUUGCUCUCAGAACUCUAGUGGGUAAAUAUAGAUAAGAGUUUGUACUCUUUGAUCAUUUCUCAAAGUGUUUUUUUUAAAUGUUUAUGUUCCCUUCACACAGUUAGUUAGCAAUAAUAAUGUUCUGAUUUUACAGACAGAAGACACUGAAUAUGAUGAAAAGACUUGAUGUUGUUUAUAAAAUUCAGUGUUGAACAAACUUAAAAUGUUUUCUCCAUUAAAAAUUUUUAAGUUGUGUUUAAAAGUACUCAAAACAGAUAGUUAUGUUUGCAUCCAUCAGUUAUAUAAAAUAGUCUUGUGACUAUUAGUCUGAUAACAGAUAGAUAAAUGUGAUCAAUUAUUGCAUGUUUCUGGUAGCUGGUCAUAUCAUAACCAUUUCUAGAAUUCUUGGACACAUUUAAUGUAUUCCUUUAAAAAAAGAAGACAUUGAUGAGGCCAACAAACACAUGAAAAAAUCCUCAUUAUCACUGGUCAUUAGAGAAAUGCAAAUCAAAACCUAACAUUAAGAUACUAUCUCACACCAGUUAGAAUGGCAAUCAUUAAAAAAUCUGGAGACAACAGAUGCUGGAGAGGAUGUGGAGAAAUAGGAACACUUUUACACUGUUAGUGGGAGUGUAAAUUAGUUCAACCAUUGUGGAAGACAGUGUGGCAAUUUCUCAAGGAUCUAGAAAUAGAAAUAUUAUGCAGCAAUCAAAAACGAUGAGUUCGUGUCCUUUAUAGGGACAUGGAUGAACCUGGAGAACAUCAUUCUCAGCAAACUGACACAAGAACAGAAAAUGAAACACCGCAUGUUCUCACUAAUAGGCGGGUGUUGAACAAUGAGAACACAUGGACACAGAGAGGGGAGCACUACACGCUGGGGUCUGUUGGUGGGAAUAGGGGAGGGACAGCGGGGGGUGGGGAGUUGGGGAGAGAUAGCAUAGGGAGAAAUGCCAGAUACAGGUGAAGGGGAGGAAGGCAGCAAAUCACACUGCCACAUGUGUACCUAAGCAACUGUCUUGCAUGUUCUUCACAUGUACCCCAAAACCUAAAAUGCAAUUAAAAAAAAAGAAAUUUCAUUUGACCCAGCAAUCUCAUUACUGGGUAUAUAUCCAAAGAAUUAUAAAUUGUUCUAUAAUAAAGACACAUGCACACAUGUGUUCAUUGCGACAAUGUUUACAAUAGCAAAGAGCUGGAAGCAACCCAAAUGUCUAUCAUUGAUAGACUGGAUAAAGAAAAUGUGGCACAUAUACGCCAUGGAAUACUACACAGCUAUAAAAAACAAUGAGUUAGUGUCCUUCAUAGGGACAUGGAUGUAUCUAGAAACCAUCAUUCUCAGCCAACUGACACAAGAACAGAAAACCAAACACCGUAUGUUAUCACUCAUAGGGCAGUGUUGAACAAUUAGAACACAUGGAUACAGGGAGGGGAGCAUCACACACUGCAGUCAGUAGGGGGAGUCUAGGGGAGGGACAGCAGGGGUGGGGAGGGUGGGGAGUAAUAAUGAGGGGAGAAAUACCAGAUAUAGGUGAUAGAGGGAUAAAGGCAGCAAAUCACCUUGCCAUGUAUGUACAUAUACAACAAUCCUGUAUGAUCUGCACAUGUACCCCAGAACCUAAAGUACAAUAAAAAAAAAAUCAGGAUGGAUAUUCUGAUUUGUUCUGUCUGUUGGUAAAAUUCAAGUCAAAACUGAAUUAGCUCCUGCCAACUUGGCCUAUUUAAGUAGUAUAGGGGUUUUAUAUAAUAAAAUAUCAUAAAAUUUCCUUUUAUUAUCAUAGAUUACUAUAUAAACAGGUGAUCAUCUAAUCAAUGGUCCAAACCAGGACAUUGUUGAGAGUGACAGGGGAAAAUUGGAUUGAGAUACCAGGCAGAAUCUAGACAAAUCAGGACUUGAAGUCACCCCAUGUAUAAACAAUACAAAUUUUAUUGCCUGUGCACUUAAUGUUAAAUUCUCUGUAUGAGGAACAAUGUCAGAGGACUUUUUUAAACUGCAAAGCACUUUGAUAAGAUAGCUCUUGGUCAUGUGACUUUUUUGGUAUGGCCUAUUUUUCCUUUAAGAAAUAAUAUCAUCUUAAAUACUCAUAGAUGUGAUGGCAUUUGGAGAGUCCCACUGCUUCUUUCUGCAUUUUUCUAGCAGAGUAUUUAGUAGGAAGAAUAAUUAAUUUUUUGAGUGACAGAUUUAGCUCUCCAACCAUGUCCCUUGUCACCUCUUAGACUAAAAUAGAUCAUGCCAAGUAAACUAUGAGAAUAAUGCCUGAUAAAGAUACCUUGAUGGUAUAAUUAACAAUACCUCAAUAAGUCAGUGGAGGUUAGAAGAACAACGAGAGGUCUUCUACUGUCCCCUGCCUCUUUGGCUCUGCCAAUUUCAGUAUAUCACAUGGAAGUUAUUUUUCUGUUAUUCUCGCCCCUGUGGGUGGCAUUUAAUAUUUGAGUAUCAUGGUAACAGAGGGCCAGAGAAUGAAGGCAACAAAUCUCAUAUCAACUCUUUCAUUUUGUUUUUUUGUUUCUCUAUGUAUCUGUUUAUUUUUUAAGGAAUGGACUCUCUUUGUUAAGUAUAACUUCUGUUCUAUAAUAGUAAUUUAAUAAUUGAAUUCAUAUUUCAAUAGUAUCUUUUUUUUAACACAGGGUCUCACUUUGUCACCUGGGCUGGCGUGAGUGACACAAUCAUAGCUCACUGUAGUCUCAACUUCUUGGGCUUAAGCAAACUUCCCACCUCAGCUUCCCGAGUAGCUGGGAUUACAGGAGUGUGCCACUAUGCCUGGCUAAUUGUUUUGUAGAGAUGGGGUUUUGCCAUGUUGCCUAGGCUGGUCUUGAACUCUUGGGGUCAAGCAUUCUGCCCUCCUCAGCCUCCGAAAGUACUGGGAUUACAGGCAUGAGCCACUGUGCCUGGCUAAUUUUACUCUUUUAAAAAAUCUUAUUUCAACUGAACACAUUUUUAUAAACCAUAAAAACAUAUUAAAACCCAGCAGUUUCAGAAACAGUUAAGAAUUUCCUUGUGAAAGCACUGUUCUCUCAGUCUUUAUCUUCCAAGUGACUUGAAUGCUCUUAAUACUAAUUGCACCUUGGUGUAAGCUACUUGAUAUCAAACCUUUUUAUUUAAAGUUAGUUGCUUUUGAGCCCGCUGCAUAGAGACCCUCUAAUUCUGUGUAGUGACCUGUACCCUAGUGCACAAUUAGUGUGUGAAUCAAGGUAAUUAGCAACAAAUCAUCUUUUUAUAAUUGAAGAAUCUAAGGUAGUGCAAGAUAAGGGACCUACUGAGAGACAGAGUUCAGAAUAAAGGAGAAGGUUUCAGUCAUUUAAUGAAGUGCUCUGCUGGGAGGAUUCCCCUAGUCUGGGGACCUUUAGUGAAAUAUGGGGAAACCAUCAGGCGAGGCAGGUCAGAUAGUUUAUAAUGGCGAGUUAUAGGCUGUAUGUUAUAAGGAGCAUUUCUUAGCACUGGAGAAAUUUCACUAGAUUCCAGUUCACCUUUCCAAACUACUAAAAGCAAAACAGGACUGUUUUUAAAAAUUGGAAAGUAAACCUGACUUCUUGUGGAAAAUUUGGAAAAUAUUGAGAAAUUUUAGAUCUAGUCCCUUUAACUUUAAGGAGCUCACAGGCAAAGGGGCAGGGGAAAUCAGCACAGAAAACAACUGAUAUGGCCAUUAAGAGCAUGAAAGCUUAGGGUUAGUAAGUUCUUGAAUUCACCUUUUUACAAAUCUGUAAAAACAAAUAUGACUUUAAAAAAGCACAAAUAUAAAUUGGGAAUGCCAAUUAGCUCAUUAAAUUAGAUGAAACAUAUCAGUGGAAUCAAAUUUCAUGGUUCAAAUGAUAUAUUUUAAUAUUUUAAACAUUAUAUUUUAAGCUGGGUAUAGUGACUCACACCUGUAAUCCCAGCACUUAAUGGAAGGCCAAGGUGGGCAGAUCACUUGAGCUCAGGAGUUGAAGACUAGUCUGGACAACACGGCGAAACCCUGUAUGUAUAAAAAAUACAAAAAUUAGCUGGGUGUGGUGGUGCAUAACUGUACUCCCAGCUACUCAGGAGGCUGAGGUGGGGGCAUAGCUGGAGCCGAGAAGGUUAAAGGCGGCAGUGAGCCAUGAUUGCAUCACUGCACUCCAGCCUGAAUAACAGAGUGAGACCCUCUCUCAGAAAAAAUUAUAGUUUAAGAAAUGAGCAAAAAUGAAUAGCUAGGCAGAAAUUGAUGAUAGCUUUUCUUAGAUUAAACACCAAAAAUAUCUUGAACAUUUGCGUUGGCUGAAAAUGUUCUUCGUAAACAAUGAGAAAAAAGCUACAGUUUUAUUUUUAAAAAGAAUUAGUUAUUUUCCUAGUACUUUCACAUUGAAUUAAUUUGUCACUUAUUCUAGUGGAUAAACAAGAAUAGAGCUAAUUACCUGAAUGUUUAUGUGACAGAUGCUAUCAGAGCCAACCCUUAACCCCAGGACCUUUCACAUUGCUCUUAUGAACUUUCUACUGUCAGCGCUUGCGUCUCUGUGUCUGAGGGCUGCCCCUCAAAUGCUGAUUUGCCCGUGGACAGCAGUUCAUUCUAGGGAAUUAAUAUGCCCGCUUAUCCAGCAGGCUUCAUCUAAUAACUCUCUAAAGGUGACAUAUAAAAUACCCCAGCUCCCUCACCCUCAGAUGCGAUAAUUCUGAAGCUAUGUUUUGCACUAGUUCUCAAAGCUUCCCCAGAGAAUUCAGCUCCAAGCACCCACUCUGGUAGCUGACUUCUUAGAUGCUUUUCUUUCUUUGUCUCCCUUCCCCACUUCCCUACCACUGUUCCCUACUUGGGGUGCUUCUGGAGAAUCCAUACUAAAUCUUAAAAUUAAGCAUUAUUGUUAUUACACUUCUAUGCACUACCUGGAUUAACCCCAUGCUGAUCAUGGUUUAGGAAUUCUCAAGUGUUUUACAUAAAAGGCAUCGUUCAUAAAGCUAAAGAAGGACCAGUAUGAUCAAUAGUGCACACUAAUGGAUUGAAAGAGUUAUCUAGCAUGACCUGAGAUGCAUUAGCAAACACAGAAAAUCUGACCUUGGGAGAAAGCCCCUGAUCUGAGCCUGGAGAGUAAGACUGAAGUCAGAAUGAUGAGCCUUCCUUGUGCUAUGUCAUAUUGCUUUGGAUUUGCUGUGAAGCUGGAGGUUCAGGGAGGGGCAUUACUGCAAUGCCCCCUUUUACUUUUGCAUGUCUUUCCUGGCCUGACUGAUGCUGGCAGUGAUCUCAUUUUAUUCUUUCUCCCUAAAUCUUCUGUAGCACUACACACAUAGAUAGUGAAUAAUUCUUGAUUAAUGGGCCACUGUGCUGUGCUGUCAGGUGCUAUAUUAAAUUGUGUUAUAUCAGUUACUUCUGAAAUCUGUAGGUAUUUUUUUAUUUUGUACCAUAAGCCUCCUGGUCUUUGUUGCUAUUACAUUAUGAAACCCUGUCAAAUAUUUCAUUUUGUCUUCAAAAAGUCCUUGGCAAAAUUAGCGUCUUAUGAUUUGUUUUUGAAAAUUAGUGAUAAAAUAUCAAUGAAAUAGAUACAAUUUCUUAUCUUUUGUUUCAAGUCUCAUUUAGUUCUGUGCAUUAUCUUGUGAAUGGGAACUUUCGUAUGCUAAGGAAAUCUUUCAGCCUUAAUGGAUGGCCAUCAAGUCAGUUGCUGCUGACACAUCCCUGCUAUACCUCCCUUCUCUGGCUGUGGUUUGUUUCUCCAGGGUGGUAGUUAGAUGAAUACUGCCAUCAUCUUCCCUACUCUGCUCAAGGAUUCCUAGCAUGGCUCACUGUUCCCAACCAGGUGUCCUUAUCAGCAAUUCCUUAGAGAUGUCACUCUGACUCUUGUGUGAUCUCACAGAAUUACUCAUUAAAAAAUCGAGUAUGCUGCUGUGUGCUGUAAAUUGUCUUUCUCAACUUGAAGUCAUAUCACUUUAACCACGCUUCAUCAUUGCUGUGACAACUGUAUGAGUAUACUGUAUAUUUUAAACAUGACAGUGAUGGAUCCUAUAGGUAAAAUACCAAAUGACUGAAAACAAGUGGCAAGGCAAGUAUUUUUAUAAUCAAAAUAUAAUGCAAUUCAUUAGAAAUAGGUAUUAUCUUAGCUAUUAUAACUUCUGGAAGUUUUGUGAACCUUUGUGUUCAGUCAAAACUGCAAACUCAGCAUAUGCUUGCUUAUGAAUAUUGCUUCUAGCUAAACAAGUGUUCAUAUAUUCUUUUCCAUUUAAAUACAUGACUAGGUAUUUACUAAAAAGUGAGCUACUUACUAAUGGUAGAUUACUGCGAUGUCUUUCAUAUCAGCUGUUGCUUAUCUGACAAUCUCAUAUUAGGUGAAACCUAGGCAAGAAAUAGGUAGGAAGCUGAAUUGGCUUGUGAGAUAACCUAAGCGAUAUCCCAGUGUCUGUGCAGUACCUAUUCCUGUGUACUUUAUUCACUGGCAAACCCUUCUACAACCCCAUGCAAAAUGUUUUUUCUUUUUAAAUUUUACACAUUAUUAUUAUUUUUUAAAUACAGGGUUUUGCUUUCUCACCCAGGCUGGAGUACAGUGGCAUGAUCAUAGCUGACUGCAGCCUCAUCUCCUGGGCUCAAGUGAUUUUCCCACCUUAGCCUCCCAAGUAGCUGGGACUAGAGGUGUGGGCUACCAUGCCUGGCUGAUUAAUUUUUUUUUUUAGUAGAGAUAAGGUCUUGCUACAUUGUCCAGGCUGGUCUUAAACUCCUAGACUCAAGUGAUCCACCUACCUCAGCCUCCCAAAGAGCUGGGAUUACAGGUGUGAGCCACCAUGCCUGGCCUUUACACAUGAUUUCAACAGGUUUGGUUCAGUUAUAUGAUUUCCCGUUAGUAGCAAGCAAGAAUGGUGAAAAGAAUAGAUUACCAGAGAAAAAUACUAAGAAAAUAUACUAUAUUAAUACUUAAAUGAUUAAGGUUAGUGAAAGAGUUUUAGUCAUAUUUUAACUUAAAAACUGAUAAUUGUGUUAGAAGGCUUCAGACAGUUUAUUGAGUGCCUGUUAUGCACUGGGCAAUGUAUGCAAUGUUUACCAGCAUCCUCUCUAGCUCUUACAUCUCGUCUGUGAGAUAGACAUUAUUAUUUCCAUUCUAAAAAUUAGAGAACAACUGGGGCUCUGAUGAGUGAAAUGAUUUGCACAAGGCCAAGUAGUAAGUAACUGAUUUAGAAUUAAAACCAGGACCGUCAGAUUUAAAGGCCCUGUUGUUUCUGUCAUAUUGAAUUGCUUCCACAUGGGCCAUUCCACAAUGUACUUAGUGAAAUUAUUAUCUUAAGAGCAAUACAUUUCAUAGAGAAACUUAAUAAUAACCUCCUCUGACUCCCCUGAUUUUACAUAUCUUUUUUUGCCUAAGUGAGGAUAUAAACCAAAAUCAUGAUUAUUUUGAUUUAUAUUUACAUAAUAACUUUCACUUUGUAUAGAUUCAGUUUGUCACUCUAAUAAUACUAUUUCUGGCCUCAGGCCUGUUGAUAUUCGACUGGUACCCUCAACAUACUUGUUCUUUAAAUGGUUGUGGUGUGGAUCAUUUGAAGGAAGGAACAGCCAGAAAAGUAUCAAGAUAAUUGUGACAACUGCCACUGGUGGUAUAGUAAUUAAAGAGAACAGAUAGUUAUGUAAAAGUAAUUUCUUUGCUGAGCCAUCACUGGUGCAGAGAGCAAAAUAAUAGGGACAGAUGUGACUGAAAGAAGUUUUGAUGUUAUCCUGGUGUUUGGUUUUAAUCUCUCCCCACCUCUUGAUACCAUCGAUUUUUAUCUGUCAUGUAAAAACAGCAGCAACAGCUCAUGGUAAAUUUCAUGGUGAGAGUUCUUACAUAAUUCAAGGAUCACAUGAAAGAAAACCACAGCAUUAUCUUCUAGCUUCUUACCUGAUUUUGUAAAAAGGUUUUGAGCAUACUGUUUUUUUUAUGAGUGGUUAUCAGAAAUCUUAAAUGGUAGAAACCAAACGUUGUCAAACAGGAAGGGUAAUAAAAAUUCCAGUGUAUCUGGGAGGCCAUGAAGCGUCAUGGAGUUUUAUUUUGUUUCUCUGUGGAGUUAACUGGUUUUUAGCAGUUCUACUGAACUUUAGCUAAAAUGAAUUACACGAAAAACUGAUUAGAAUUGGUUCAUGCUAUUAUUAGAAUUACUAAACAUGCAGAAAUUAAAGUAAAUGCUAAGGGGAUGUCUUGCUGCUUUUAGGGUGUUUGAUUCUGAUCUGGUCGCUUACUAUCUUCAAUCUAUUAGAUACUAUAUUACAAGGGACACUCAAGUACAUACAGGCUCCAAACCCCUGUCUAGUCAUAUCUUUGUAAGCCACACUGAUGUUUUUAGCAUAGAAUGUAGGUUGGAGGCCUAUGGUUCUAUUUUGUGGAGUUAGAGUCCCACCCACCCCAGAUCUAUUGAAUGAGAAUCUCUUGGUGACAGGCAUUUUAAAUAUUCUUCUUGAGUGAGUCUGAUAUAUAUUUGGAAACCUCUGCACAGGCCUCCUAAAUAUGAUAACCCCUUCUAAAUAUGUGUCAUCUCGACCCUCAGAGAGUGUUACCAUAUUUGCUAGGAGAAAGGGAAGAGAGAAAAGUGUCAGCCUUGAACAGAGGAGAACAUUGAACAUCUAUUCAAAGAGUAGAAAACUUUGAACCUCUUCAUUCUACUAUCCAUACCUCCAAGUCUAGCUGCCUUGGUCUAAUUAUGUUUCUUGAGGUGCAGUUUUCCUUUGCGCUCUAAUAGAAGUGCUUCUCCUUGGAUGUGGAAUUGAGGUGAGGUAGAUGAGGUGAGGUAGAUGGGAGUGAUGCUCUUCCUAGAGCCAAGAUUCUUACUACUUGGGGGGAAAAAAGACCAGGCUGCCCCUAUUUCUCAUCACACUCCCUUAUCCUGAUUAUUCCAAUUCACUCUAUCUCAUAUCUGUGAUUCAGAUGCUCAUACCUGGGGAGACGCUGUUUUUCUGGAUAUUAGACUAUGUGACCAAGAGUGAACAUUUUGUAUUUCUGUAAAAUUCCAUGUUUGGGAUGGUGUUAGAGGCAGAGAUACUUCCGGGGCCUAAUGUCACAUAGAAAGGCUUGAUACUUACCCUUCAGCAGGAAUGAGAGGUACAUUUAAAUUACUAGACUGAUUAGACUCCUGAAUUUAGACUCCUAAUUUAAAUUCUUAAAGAGUUAGCUAAGGGAUGUGAGGGGUAAAUGAUACAUCUGUUUUACCCCAAACAGAUCCUGCACUGUCUGGGGAGAAACCCCUAGUCUUCCCUGCAUCCCUGGCUUUAAUGUUUGAGGGCCUGUUCUUUAUAAUGAGGUUCAUAAGGGAAAGGACAGUGUGGCCCUCCUGAGACCAGAGGGAAUAGGAUAGGGCAGAGGUUCUCAGGUAUUGAUGAGCAACAGAAACACCUGAGGCUCUUGGUAAAAUGCAGAUUCCCAGACCCCCACCUGGAUCCACUGAGGGGAGUACAUUAGUUUCCUAGGGCUGCUGUAACAAAUUACCACACUCUUGGUGGCUUAAAAUGGAAAUUCAUUUUCUCAUGGUUUUGGAGGUCAGAAAUCUGAAAUCAGGGUGUCAGUAGGGGUGGUUAUUUCUGGAGGCUCUGAGGGAGAAUUCGUUCCACCCCUAUCUUGUAGCUUUUGGUGACUGGGAAAUUCUUGGCUUAUAGAAGCAUCAUGCCCAAACAAUACAAAACAAAAAUAAGAAAAUAGAACUUAAAUUAAGUUAGGUGCACUCCUUAGUGGCCCCCUCCCAGUGCUUUGCCUAAAUCUCUAAUUUAGCAUUGAUUGCUGUGGCUAACACCCAACCCAUAAGACACAACCAGCACUGCAACGCUCACCUAUCUGAUAAGGACACUUGUGCUUUCCCCUCUACACCCUCUGGAAAGGGAUUUGGAGGCUCUUUAAUCAACCCAAUGACAUGCUUUCAGUGGGAAAGAAGCUGGGGCAGGUACUUAGCCCCGGGGACUCCUGGUUAAUGUUUAGUUUGUUCAGCUGUGCUGUCACCUUAUUGCUGUAGACACUAAAUUCCAAUCUGGAUUACAAACGUUUUGUGAACAACUUAGACUAAUAUUUAUAGUGCUGGAAGAGGUAAAAUUUAAAAAGCCAGUUGAUCUGAAAUAAUUUGUGAGUUUUUUUCCUCUGGCCUAAUCCAAGAGCUUUCUGCUUGGUUUAUCAGGUCCUCUGGUGACCUUAGUUUAUGUUUAGGUAGCAAAAUUCCUGUUCCAUGCAAGUAGCAGAAGCUCUCGAAUGAAAUAUAGCCAAAUCAGCACAGCACCAAUCACCUAUCCUAUUAAUUUCUUUAUACUAAGUCUGGAAGGCAUUUGGGUCUUGAAUCUCUUUGCCUGCCUGUGUCCUCCCUCCUUCUCAUUUGUAAUCUGUCUCUGUUUUUCCCAUUCAACUGUAGACAUCAAUGCAAACCAUAAGUUUUAUACCAAACAUAUAAUUGGCAUCCCUUGCUGGGAGACACUGUGCUCUAAUGGUUAAGGGUUAUGGCACAAGAUCCAGGAUUGUAUUCUCUACAAUUUACUAGCUUGUGAUCAUGGGCAAGUUACUGAACUGCUCUAAGCUUCAUUUUCCCCAUCUGACAAAUGGGGGUAAUGAUGGCAAUGAUCAUGAUAUCCACUUUAUUGGAUGAUUGAGAGAAUUAGAUUAGGUAAGCUUUAUAAAGGGCUUGAUAUAUAAUAAAUGAUUAGCUAUUUUUGUGAUUACAAUUAUAGUUAUUUUAUUAUUAUUUGUUUAAAAUGCCAGCAAGAUAAGCUCGAGUAAAAGAUUUUUUUAUACUAGGGAAGAAGCCAUUAACUACAGGAUGACAGGCUGAGUACAAUUAUUUGCAUAAUUACCAACAUUGUUAGGCCCUUAAUAGGCAUUACCACAAUCCAAAGUUCUCACAUCUGUGAUCUCAUUUAAUCAUCAUGGCAUGUUAAGAGCCUUUACUAUUACCUCAUUUUUCUGAUGACAAAACUGAAGCACAGAGAAAUUAAGUAUCUUGUUCAAAAUUUGUCAGAGUUAACAGGGGUCUAAGAUCUACCUCACAUUACAUUAUAGUCACUUCACUGGCUUCCAAAGAUUAAUGGAGGGAAGGUUUUCACAUUGCUCAUUUUUAUCAUAUAAUUAUUCAACAUGACAUUUAGGUUUGUUUAAUACAAAGUGUUUACUAUAACAUUAUUCAAAAAACUAUCUAUUUAUACACAUAUCACAAACACAUGUUCCUUUGGGGUAGGAGUAAAAAGUCCCAGUAUCUUAACUUCUAGAGGGGUGGCUGUAGGCAUGGAGCGCUAUUUUUCUCUCUGGUGUUUGCAUAGGUUACAGAGCCAGCAGGAAGCCCAGUGCCUGAUGCAAGUAGAGAAACAGCAUGGACCCUGCAGAGAGACUGUCAUCAAGCUGUGCUGGGCAGGUUCUUACACUUUGUGGUGGGGAACUUUCUUGCUGGGAGAGGUUCUUCUGGGCUAUAACUGCUCACAGCCAUUCUGUAAUUGGCUUCUGCAAAGUAGCAAGCAUGUUGGCUUUGCUACCCGCAUCCAUCUGGCUGAGUUUUAUGCACAUGCAAAUAAUGGAACCCUUAUUUGUGGCUAUCUCUGGGACUUAUGAGUCACAAUGGAGUCAUUGCAUCCAUACGGUCUACAAUGUCAUACAGCCAAAGCUGGGGGUGGGGGAUUAGAACAUUUAUAUUCAGGCAGUCUGACUUUAUCAUCUCUGUGCCUCACCAAUGCAUCAGGCCACCUUCCUGCAAUAGGAAAAUCUUUAAAAAAAGUCCUGACAUUGGUGUAUCAAUCUUUGCCAGAUUUUUGGCACAUCACAAUCUGAGCUUAAAUUGUGAUGCAAAACAUUUUGGACAAGGCUCAGCAUUGCUAGUUGUUUGUUUGCUUAUUUCUUGUUGAUGACCCAGUGUAGUUAAUUUCAUCUCCACACUCAGCUGUUCACUGAUAGCUUUUCUUCUUAAAGGAAAUAAUUUUAGUACUUAUUGAUGUUGACUUGAGUAACACAAUAUUAUUAAUAAUAUUUAGAAUGGUUCUUUAACCAAAGUGUAAGUAUAAUUUCAAAGCAAGCUUAUGAAAUUUUACUUAUAAAUUUUUCAUUUUAUAACACUUGCUCUGAAAUGGCUGCUUAUCAAAAUAAUGACUGAUUCAAAUCUCAAUGGCAUGUAUCACAUUUCCAUAGUAAAUAUGCAGCCACAAGUCCUUUCUGGUAUUUCAAAUUUUCCCACUUUGUUAACAUCAACUUACUUGACAUAAAUUCUGUCUUCUUUAAAUUAUUUUUGACUAUUACAAUUUGAAGGCUGAUGAAAUUAUUUUCAUUAAAGAGUAACUUUAAAAAUUAUAAUCAUUAUAGUUUAGAAGGCUUGGAAUAUGUAGAUAAAGAAAAAGAAAAUAAAAAUAAUUAAUAAUCUCAUCAUCCAGAGAUAGCCAUUGUUAAAAUUUGGUUUUUAUAAUGAAAAGAUUUUUUAAAAAUUUACUGCUUAUUGCAGGAAAAUAUACUAACAGAAAAUUAAAUUGUCUGUUUACACUAACCUUGGUAGCUUUUUUUUUAAAAAAGAAGCUCAAGUCCUCCAAACUAUUUAAAAGCAAGCAAAUAAACACUUUAUUUGAAAUUUUAAAAGGCAAAAAAGCACAAAUGAAAUAUUGUUUCAUACACAGAUGUUUUAGAUUUAGAUGGUUUAUGAUUUAAUAGUUAGAUUGUUGUGUUAUGUAGCACAAUUUUGUGUUGGGAUUCAAUUUGCAUAUGGUACACUAAGGUUUCUUAUGCAUUGAUAGCAUAUCAUAUAUUUGUGCUUGUUUUCUGGGGUUUGGAAUGUAAUUUUAUGAAUUUAAAUUUAUAAUAGUCAAAACAAACAAAAUGUUCUUUAAUAGUAGGAUAGAUAAAUAAUAGUUUAUGUAAUGAAAUACUCUGCAGUGAUGAAAAUGAACCACAGCCAUGUUCAACAACAUGGAUAAAUCUCACAGCCGUAAUAUUGAAUGAAAGAAACCAGAUAAAAAAUAACACAUAUACUCAGGCCAGGUGCAAUGGCUUAUGCCUGUAAUCCCAGCACUUUAGGAGGCUGAGGUGGGCGGAUCAUUUGAGGUCAAGAGUUAGAGACCAGCCUGUCCAGCAUGGUGAAACCCCAUCUCCACUAAAAAUACAAAAAAUAGCUGGUGUGGUGGUGUGUGCCUGUAGUCCCAGCAAGUCAGGAGGCUGAGGCAGGAGGAUCAGUUGAACCCAGGAGAUGAAGUUUGUAGUGAGCCAAGAUCUCACCAUUGUACUCCAGCCUGGGAGACAGAGGGAGACUUCAUCUCAGAAAAAAAAAAAAAAAAGGGUACUGUAUAAGUGUAUUUAUAUGAAGUUUAAAUAUAGAUAUAACUAAACUAUAGAUGGGAUAAUAAGGACAGUUAGAAAAUUAUAAUACCAUUAGGAAUUCAGGAUACUUGUUGCUUUUGAAAGGAGAAAAAGCAUAGUGAUUGGGAAAGGCAUGAGGGAACAUCUAGUGUACUCAAAAUAAUCCAUUUGUUGACCUGGUUGAUGGCUAGUAAGGUGUACUCACUUUUAAAAAGACUGCAUUGAGCUUCCUUUAUAUUUUGUGUACUUUGCUGUGUAUAUGAUAUACUUCAAUAUAAAAAGCUAAAUAAUUACUACAUAAGUCACAUUUACUUGAUAUCUACUGUUUGCUCCCGACAUAAUCUUCCUAUUAUUUCCUCAGGGAAAUAGGAUCUGCUUUACUAUCAUGGUUUCCAAGAAUGCAUUAGGCUUUUUUAAAAAAAGGGAGAACUGCUACCAUUUCUUUUAUCUCCAUUGUGAUAAAAUUUUCAAGUCAUUUAAAUAUUUUCUAGAUGAUUGAUAUAUUUUAUUAGUUCUUGUGCACAGCAGAUGUGUGAGACAGGCUGGUAUUGCGGUCUCCAUUGUUCAGAUAAGGAAAGUAGACACAGGGAGAGUAAAUGUUUGGCUGAGCCUGGAAUUGAAAUGCAGUUCUUUUGACAUUCUUCUGUGCUGUCUGACUACAGAACACUGCUACAGUCAUAGAUAACUCAGAAUUUCCCAAAAUCUUGGACUCCUAGAGAAAAAAGAUUUCCAUGAACACAAAUAGGCACUAACUAUAAAAACAUUUUUGUAGAUGAAAUUUACAUUUAUAUCUAAGAAGUAUGGUUAAGCACAUUGAGGGGAGUUACUCACUGAUUCAACAAACAUUUCUGAGCAUUGGGUAUUGUGCCAGCCUCUGCAGGAGAUGGAGCUAGGAAUAUUACUAUAAUACAAUGUGAUAAGUGAAAGAAUAGAGAAUCCUACAUAUUGGCCUAGAGGAGGGGCUGGUAAACAGCUUCUUAGGAAAGAAGCAUUUGGAAGGUCUUUUGAAAGAGGGGAUGCCUGAAUUGGAUCUGAAAUGUACAGGGAUGCAUUUUGUUUUAUAUAAAACUAGAUAGGUAGGUAGAUUUCUUACAUUUUUUCCCCAUGACAUUUUGACCUCCUAAUUUUAAGAAACUUUAGAUUCUUAGAGAUCGUUGUUUUUUUUUUAAAAAAUGUAAAGAACAGAUUGAAUUUCCAGAGAUGGCAGCUGGAUGGUAAACUCCUUGAAGACAGGACAUCUUAUGCUACCUUGUUUUUUUUACAAGGUCCAGCAGCAUAGUAGCCUCUUCACUAAGAUCGUUGUGGAAUUGCUUUUGCAUGGGGCUAUUUUUGGUAGAAGUGAGUUCUUCACUUUAAACUACGCUUGCCUUCUUUGUCAGUGAAUCUAAAGUGUUGAGCUGUUAGAUUUGAGGGUGUUCAGAUAUUUUAUUUCAGCUGAAUUCUAACAUCAAGUCAUGCAUAUAAAAAUCCAGUUACAAAAAAAUUCAAUUGAGUUGCAUACAGCCUGUUGAUGGUAUUAAUUUUUAAAAGUAGUUAUGCUAUAGAUUUGUUUUAUAGGCAUUUAGAUGAGUGCAAAGCUCUAAGGAAGCAAAAUCUCAUGUACAAUACCACAUAGGCCACUUUUCAAGGUUGACAUUUUUGUUUUUCAGAUGUGAUCUCUGCAUCAUCUUAUUCUUUGUGCAAGUUUCAGUAGAUGACUCCUUAUUUGUAAACAGAAGUCAGGCCUAACCAAAUUUCAGCAAUGAAAUUCAGCUACAGAAAGAGAAAAUAAUAGCGUCAAAACCUUUAUCCAGAACGCUAUUUUGCAUUUCCUGAUAGACAUAUCCUGGCAUCUCUAAUGACAUCCACUAAGGUAGUUCUCUAAAAUAUUUUAUAGUUGCUGAUAAGUCAUUAGGUAAUAUGGAGAAAAUGCCUUAGAUCCUUUCUCUUCUUUAUAGGAGGAAUGCCUGGGAAAAUAAAUGAAAGUUCAAGUGAGAGACAGCAGAACAUUAGUGAUAAAGGAAGAAGCAUGAGGGGCUGGUGUUUGUAUAUUGGCUUUUAAAGUUAAUGAUACCAUUUAAAAAUUUUAUAAAAUAUAAACUAUUGGCCCAUCUUAUAGGGUGGUUGUGGGAAAUAUCUACUGGAAGUGAUACUCUCACACUCUGCCACUUUUCCACAUCAUCUUAAUAUUUGUAACAACUUAACAAUGGGACAUUUAUGAUCCAGAAAUAAAAAAAAGUCAUAUAUUUUACCAAGUAAAUGGUAACCUAUUCCUAGCUAAUCUGUAGCCUAAUGAUCUGUCCAGGCCUAACUGGUUUAAACAAUGGUAAUUCUUUUUUUUUUUCUUUGAGAUGGAGUUUCACUCUUGUUGCCCAGGCUAGAGAGCAGUGGCGCGAUCUGGGCUUACUGCAAUCUCUGCCUCUGCCUCUCAGGUGUUAAUUCUAAAACAUAAACUACUACUUAGAUAUACGUCAAAAAGAAAGGAAAGAAAUGCCAAGUCCACUGCCUUAAUUUCUUAGAGCAAAUCCUAAACUAAAUGUUUUGGGAGGAUAGAGUAAAUGAAAUAAAAACAAAAUUACAGUAGUUUUGUAACAGAGUUACAAAACUUACACACACAAAGGCCCUUAAAUGAGGGCCUUUGGAUGGACUUCAUCAGGGGGUCCUUGAACCUCUUAAAAUUGUGUGCAAAAUGUAGUAAAUCACAGCCUUUUUUCAGGAGUAAGUAGUUCCUACACUUUUAUCAGAUUCGCAAAAGAGUUAAGAACCACUGAUUAAACCAAUUACUAGUGUGUGUUAGUUAUAGAUAGAUAGUGAGUAAAUAGUUGGGAAAUAUAACAAAUCUAUAAAAUAUGCCUAUGUAUAUGGUAACAAAGAUGAAAGGAGCCUGUAUUUCUGGGAAUGCAAUAAAAUGAUAUCUAUGUUAUUAAAAUGUUUGCAUAGAGAAUUUUAUUCUUUUGUUGAGAUGCAAAACUUUUAAUUCCCUCUGUGCUAGGUCGCCUUGCCCAGCAAACAGACAAUGAGAAAUAACAUUCUCCACGAUUAGAGCUGGCUGUUUAAACACUCUGUUUAUUUUUCUUCAGUUACCACACUUUGCUUGUACCAUAUCACAGAUUGAAUAAUGAAUAAAGCAAGGGGGACCUGGUAGCAGCAAGCAUUUGACUUGUCACUGAAAAUGAGCUUACUGGAUUUUGAAUUGGUUACUUUAUAUCCCCAAGAACAAUUUGCUUUCCCAAGAACAAAAUGCUUUGUACAUUUUACUUUUUGUGUGAUUAAAGUCAGCCUAUCUUUUGGAAUAUAAAUAUAUUUUAAAUGGAUUUCCAUUUUCUAGGAUACACAAGCAAGAUAUUCCUCAAGUCUAUGAGGGAUGGAAGUGAUCCAGAAAUGAUAUGUAAUCAUGGAUCUGUGACAAACUAAACUGUGUGUGUGUGUGUGUGUGUGUGCGUGUGUGUGUGUGCAUGCAUGUGUGUGUGCAUGCAUGUGUGUGUGUGUACAUGCGUGUGUGUGUGCAUGCAUGUGUGUGUGUGUACAAAGUUCAUUGAAUAAAGUAUGAUAGGAAAGUAGUGACUAACUUAGGAUCAAACUGAAGUUUCCACACCAUUAUUCCACCCUUGUUUGAUUAGACUCUCACAAUAAUCUCAAAGAUUGUGCAUUAUUAGGUUGGGGGAGGAAAUGUCAAGAAAAUAUUUUACUCUGUUCUUUCUCCAUAGUUUCCCUGAUAUCUCAAACUGGCAGCCAGCUGGCUGAAGCCUGCACACAGACACGUUUUAUUUGGCCCAUGCAGUGCUUUUACAAUGUUUGUGCCAACAUUUUAAUAGGAAGAUUUCACAUAUGAAUCUGCAUUUCUGCAUUAUCUUGAGAAAUCAGAAGACAUGGGAAUAACUGGCUGGAGCUGAGGGUCAGUUGUCUCCCUACCCCUGACCACAGCUUCCUUCUGCAGCUCCAUCCAUGACUUCAGGCACUCAUGACCAGCCUAAGUAGUUAUUUACCUGCUUGACUGCUGGAGGCGGCUGAGUUUGAGACUGGCUUAAGGCUGCCUUUGAGAUUGCCUUAGUCUUCUGAUUAAUAACCAGGUUUGUAUAAAGCUAUCUUCUUGAUCCUGGAGAGCCUUAUUACUUAAUAUUACAUAGAUAUCUGACCAUCAAAUCUAAUCAUUUUCAGGUUCAAAAGAUUUAGAAUUUCUAAUUUGGGCUCGGGUUGGCAACGAGUGCAAAUAAAAAUAGAACAUAAAUGCCUAAAAUGCUUAUCUUUCCUUACAAGCAUUCAAUUUCUGUUGUUGUCCAUCAAAGCUGGUCAGAAGCUGUAAUUACAGUGGUGCUGUAACUAACUUGUGCUUACUGGUUCUGGAAUUUGAUGAUAAAAAAAUGGAUUUUUUUUGGCUUUAAGACAAAGAGUUGAUUGAUUAAAAAGGGAUUAUGGUAUAUGUAGACUUCUAGGAUGUUAUGAUUUCUUUAUGCUUUGGACAAAACCCUGAGGAAAAUUUAAUAGAUUUGGGUUGUCUCUUUAAUUCAGGAGGCUGUAAAUUUUUAAUUUUAAAUGUUCAAUUAUUUUGAUCAGGAUAAAGUGUUGUGCAAAUUCAGGUAGUCUCCCUUUCCAGUUGUUCCUAACAACCCUUUCUGGUUAUGGAUAAAUCUCCUUGCCAAAACUCAUAUUCAACUCGUUGGAGGGCUAGCCUUUAUCUUGCCACCUAAGGUCUUUGGAAGCCAUUUUAAUCCCACUAAAUUCCGCAGUUUAGUUAAGAUAGAGUGGCUGAAACAUAAGGUAUUUAGUAAUAUCAUGAAUCUGAAGGUAAUUAGUAUUUAAUGUCUAAAAGAAAAAAGUAAAAGCUUGCCAGUGUUCUAACUUGGAACAAUUAUAUUUCUUUCCAAACAAUUUUGUUUUUACAUACUGCUAGCCUAGCAAUGCAUUAGAAUGCAUAAAAGCUCAGGAGAUUUGAAUGUGGGAAUGGAUAAAUGUUUUGUAAUGAGGUAGAGAAUUAUUGUUGACACUUAGAAAUAAAAGCUUCACAAAAUUAUGAAUGUCCAGAUCAAUAGCAUUUUUUAAUAUUAUAAAUCACUUUGGCAAUGCUUAUGUAUGUAUGAACAGAGAAGUGAUCUAAUGAUUAUGAAAUUAGAUUUUUUUCUCUCUCUUUUUUUCUUUCUAUUUUCUUCCUCAUAGAGGCAGCCAAAGGACUUUGAGUAAACCACCAUAACUUGCUAAAUUUCCCCAACAGUGAAAUUUUUAGAAGUAUGUUUGAAUGUUCUGAGUACAGAUUAUAUUAUUUCUGUGAUUUUUUUUAGGCUGACCAGAGGUGACAUCUAUUUUUAUGUGAAAAGUAAAAAUGAAAUGUUCUGAAAGAGUUAAUUUUGAUAACUGCUUUUUUACUUUUUAAGUAAUUUUAUUGUUUUACUUGUCUUCAGAUGUUCUAAGAUCUAAUGGAAAACACAAGAAAAAAAAUGAAUUUCCUUUGCUAGAUUAUAAUGAAAAAGACAAUCUACUCCAAAAGAACUGGAGGGACAUGGAUGAAUCUGGAGAACAUCAUCCUCAGCAAACUGACACAAGAGCAGAAAAUGAAACACCGCAUAUUCUCAUUCAUAGGCGGGUGAUGAAAAAUGAGAACACAUGGACACAGAAAGGGGAGUACUAAACACAGGGAUCUAUUGGGGGGAAAAGGGGAGGGCCAGUGGGAGGGGGAGGUGGGGAGGGAUAGCCUGGGGAGAAAUGCCAAAUGUGGGUGAAGGGGAGAAGAAAAGCAAAGCACACUGCCAUGUGUGUAUCUACGCAACUGUCUUGCAUGCUCUGUUCAUGUACCCCAAAACCUAAAAUCCAAUAAAAAAUUAAAAAAAAAAAACAAGAAGAUAGAUUUUGAAUAAAUGAAUGAGAGUGGGUUGGGAAAGGUAAGAGAUGAGGCACCUGAACCCCCACCCAACUGAAAAAAUUGUUAACAUUUAAUUUCUCAGGGUAGUGGAGGAGGGGGAGCCAAGGCUUCCAGUUACUGGGAAUCCUAAUGUGGUAUGGAAUAUUAAGGGUGACUUUAUCUAUUACAUGUAAUCACUGUAUCGCUAGGGAGCCCCAGUAUGUUCCAAGAAGUUAAGGUACAUGCCAAAGAUAAGCAAAAAAUGGCACACAACCCUAUGGGAGCAUCUUGAGGAAAUGUAUUAGUAUUAGGAGAUACUAAUAGGAGAUAGCACAACCUGAAGGCCAGUCUGUGGUCAUUUAACUUAAUGGGAAUUAAAAAAUUUAUGGUAAGGACUUGACACUUGAUACUUCUCUUUAUUUUAAAUUUUCUAUUACCUGUUUUCUAAACUUUCUUUAUCCUUCACAGUAGUCUCAUAUCCUUUUUUUUCAUUAUUUCCCUAACAAUACUAAAGCACUCAAGGGAGUUUUGCUGAGCAUUGAAUUAGGCAUAAUAUAUUUUAGCCAAAGUAUGCAUGCUUACUCUGGAUGUAUUACUUCCAAAUGUGUAGACAAUAUAGUCUGUAUACCACAAAUAAAAUAAAAACAAGAAUUAAAAAUUCUAAGUGAAAAACUUUCCUUUAUGCACUAAAAGUAUUGGGUAAGAAUGUUAAAAGCAGCAUUAUAUAUAGUAAAUACAAAACUGCAAAUAUAUACUAUAUGUAUACCUACUAUGUAUAGCAAAUAUAAAACUUCAACUAAUCUAAACAUCCUUUAACAACAGAAUGGAUAAGUGGAAUGCUAUUCAGUAAUUAAAAAGCAUAACCGAUGGCUACCUGCAACAAUAUGGAUAUAUUUUACAGACAUAAUGUUAAGUAAGAGAUUAUAUGUUGCACUAUGCCAUUUAUAUCAGGUUCCAAAAUAAGCAAAAUAAGUCUGUGGAAUCAGAAGUCAGGAGAGUGGUUAACGUGGGAGUAGGUGAUGACUGGACAGGGUUUGAGAGAGGAUUCUAGAUACUGCAGGUGUUCUAUAUCUUGAGUUGGGUGGUGGCUUCACAGGUGUGCUCAUUUUGUAAAAUUUUAUCAAGCUGUUCAUUUAUGAUAUGUACUUCAGUAUGUAAUUAUAUUUAAAUGGAAAAGUAAAAGGAAACAAUUUUUCCUUUUGAUUACUUAGGAACACCUAAAGUUUAAACCUGUUAUCAUCCUGACCAUAUAAAAAAUAAGACUGGCCUUACCAGUCAGAUUUUCUCUGUGUCAUAGGAGAUAGAUCUGAUAGAUUGAGGAAGAAGUUUUGGACAUAAAAGAUUUUUAACUGUACAAAGUAUUUGUUUCUCUGCCUCAUGGGAUAAUAACAUCAAUAAAUUGUGAAAUGAUUGUUAUAAUUAAAUACUAGUUGGAUCCAUCAGUGUUGGGAGCUAUGGAAAACUUAUCAUUAUUUUCUUACAGGGUGCAUAAUUAAUGGGUCAUAUAAGGGAAGGUCCUGACUCAGGGUCGGAGUAUGUAUUAUAUUUGCCAAAGUAGUAUGACAAGAGGACUUCAGAAGGUAGUUCAGCAUAUAUUUAGUUGCAAGAGCAACUCUAAAUAUAAGUAGCAUUUUAAUACAAUGGAAAUAAACCUAGGGCUGAAUUGAUAGGUGAAUAUAGUAAAAAAUGUAUUGCUUUUAGAAAAGGGUAAAGCAACAUGAUACAACAUGAUACAUGAUAUAAAUAGUAGCACUUCUAGAUAAGAGAUCAUUCUUCCUUAUAUCAAGUUGAGUAGGGCUAUUUUUGGUAUCAUAUGCAGAACUGGUCCUAGAUAUGAUUUUGCUACUGGGAACAUUUGGUUCUGGUGCCUUCUUUUCUUCUUUUUGUUUUAUGUAUAGGAUGGUAUCAUAUGAAAACAAAGCAUUAACUUUGGAGUGAGACUGCUAUUAGUUCAAAUCUUGUCUCUAUCUUAAGUUGCUUAACUUUGGUAAGUAACUUCUCUGACACUAUUUUUUUAUGUUUAAAAUGAGGGUUCUCCAGGUGGCGGAGGUUGCGGUGAGCCGAGAUCACGCCAUUGCACUCCAGCCUGGGUAACAAGAGUGAAACUCCGUCUCAAAAAAAAAAAAAAAAAUGAGGGUUCUACCUAACUGGGAUAUUUAAUAGAUAUAUCAAUCAAUCUUUAAAUCUUUGUAUCAGUUAGGACUUAGUUUGUCUGCAUGAAUCGGAAAACUCAAAAUAACUGUAAACACACAAUAAUUUAUUCCACUUAUAAGAAGUCCAGAGAAGGCCGGGCGAGGUGGCUCAUGCAUGUAAUCCCAGCACUUUGGGAGGCCGAGGUGGGUGGAUCAUUGAGGUCGAGAGAUUGAGACCAUCCUGGCCAACAUGGUGAAACCCUGUCUCUACUGAAAAUACAAAAAUUAGCCGGCAUGGUCGCAGGUGCCUGUAGUCUCAGCUACUUGGGAGGCUGAGCAGGAGAAUCGUUUGAACCCAGGAGGUGAAGGUUUCAGUGAGCCGAGAUCGUGCCAUUGCACCCCAGCCUGGGUGACAGAGUGAGACUCCAUCUCAAAAAAAAAAAGAAGUCCAGAGAUAGACAGUCUAGCACUGGUACAUCUGCUCCCUGAAACGACCAGCAACUUAGGCUCCAUUUAAACUCCUUAAUCUGACAUUCUUAGCACAUGAGUUCUAUACUUAAAGCGGAUGUUGGAGCUCCAAGCCAUCUUCCUCAUUUCAGACAACAGGAAGGAAGAUGGUGCAUCGGGCAAAAAGUUUAGCUUCCAGCUGAGUUCUCUCUCUUUUAGUUGUCCUAGAAGUCUUGUACAAUACUUCUAUUUUGUUUCUUAUUGGCUAGAACUUAGCAACAAAAGCUCAGUUAGUAACAAAACCUCAGUUAGCAACAGAAGGAGGCUGGGAGAUGUAGUCUUUUAGCUGGAAGAAAAAUGGGGAUUGGUUACUAAGGAAGAAGUGGAAAGUGAUUUUGGGUGUCAAGUAGGAAUCUCAGCCAUGAUAUUCUUAACAAAACUCUUCAGGGCCCGCCUCCUCAUCUUAGCAAAUUCUAUCACUAUCCACCAGAUAGCUCACUCUGAAAAUUUGAGAUUCAUUCAGCAAUCCUUUUUUCCCCUCAUUCUCCAUAUCCAAAUUAGCGGCAAUCCCACAGUUCUAAAAUACAUCCUGAAAGGGAAAACUUCUGUUGCCCCUGCUAAACCCACAAUUCAAAUCACCAUCAGCUCUCAUCUGGAUUCUUUCAGUUGCCUCCUGAUUGACUCCCUGCUUCUUGUGUUGCUUUCCACAGAUCAUUGCUUGCAUAGCAAACAGAAUGAUUUCCU